rnacentral:rRNA from 1 species
CCUACGGGUGGCAGCAGUAGGGAAUCUUCCACAAUGGGCGAAAGCCUGAUGGAGCAACGCCGCGUGAAGGAAGAAGGCUUUCGGGUUGUAAACUUCUUUUAAGAGGGAAGAGCAGAAGACGGUACCUCUUGAAUAAGCCACGGCUAACUACGUGCCAGUAGCCGCGGUAAUACGUAGGUGGCAAGCGUUGUCCGGAUUUACUGGGUGUAAAGGGCGUGCAGCCGGGAAGACAAGUCAGAUGUGAAAUCCCGCGGCUCAACCGCGGAACUGCAUUUGAAACUGUUUUUCUUGAGUACCGGAGAGGUCAUCGGAAUUCGUUGUGUAGCGGUGAAAUGCGUAGAUAUAAGGAAGAACACCAGUGGCGAAGGCAGAUGACUGGACGGCAACUGACGGUGAGGCGCGAAAGCGUGGGGAGCAAACAGGAUUAGAUACCCGAGUAGUC